rnacentral:rRNA from 1 species
GUGGAUUAGAUACCCUGGUAGUCCACGCCCUAAACGAUGUCUACUAGUUGUCGGGUUUUAAUUAACUUGGUAACGCAGCUAACGCGUGAAGUAGACCGCCUGGGGAGUACGGUCGCAAGAUUAAAACUCAAAGGAAUUGACGGGGACCCGCACAAGCGGUGGAUGAUGUGGAUUAAUUCGAUGCAACGCGAAAAACCUUACCUACCCUUGACAUGGAAGGAAUCCUGGAGAGAUCUGGGAGUGCCCGAAAGGGAGCCUUCACACAGGUGCUGCACGGUCGUCGCCAACU